rnacentral:rRNA from 1 species
GAGUUUGAUCCUGGCUCAGAUUGAACGCUGGCGGAAUGCUUUACACAUGCAAGUCGAGCGGCAGCGCGGGGGCAACUCUGGCGGCGAGCGGCGAACGGGUGAGUAACACAUCUGAACGUACCCAGCUGUGGGGGAUAGCCCGGCGAAAGCCGGAUUAAUACCGCAUACGACCUGAGGGUGAAAGGGGGGGAUCGCAAGACCUCUCGCAGUUGGAGCGGCCGAUGGCGGAUUAGCUAGUUGGUGAGGUAAAGGCUCACCAAGGCGACGAUCCGUAGCUGGUCUGAGAGGACGACCAGCCACACUGGAACUGAGACACGGUCCAGACUCCUACGGGAGGCAGCAGUGGGGAAUUUUGGACAAUGGGGGCAACCCUGAUCCAGCCAUUCCGCGUGAGUGAAGAAGGCCUUCGGGUUGUAAAGCUCUUUCGGCAGGAACGAAACGGUGGAGGCUAAUACCUUUCAUCAAUGACGGUACCUGAAGAAGAAGCACCGGCUAACUACGUGCCAGCAGCCGCGGUAAUACGUAGGGUGCGAGCGUUAAUCGGAAUUACUGGGCGUAAAGCGUGCGCAGGCGGUUUCGUAAGACAGAUGUGAAAUCCCCGGGCUUAACCUGGGAACUGCGUUUGUGACUGCGAGACUCGAGUGUGGCAGAGGGGGGUGGAAUUCCACGUGUAGCAGUGAAAUGCGUAGAGAUGUGGAGGAACACCGAUGGCGAAGCAGCCCCCUGGGUCAACACUGACGCUCAUGCACGAAAGCGUGGGGAGCAAACAGGAUUAGAUACCCUGGUAGUCCACGCCCUAAACGAUGCGAACUAGGUGUUGGAGAAGGAGACUUCUUUAGUACCGUAGCUAACGCGUGAAGUUCGCCGCCUGGGGAGUACGGUCGCAAGAUUAAAACUCAAAGGAAUUGACGGGGACCCGCACAAGCGGUGGAUGAUGUGGAUUAAUUCGAUGCAACGCGAAAAACCUUACCUACCCUUGACAUGCCAGGAAUCCUGCAGAGAUGUGGGGAGUGCCCGAAAGGGAGCCUGGACACAGGUGCUGCAUGGCUGUCGUUCAGCUCGUGUCGUGAGAUGUUGGGUUAAGUCCCGCAACGAGCGCAACCCUUGUCAUUAGUUGCCAUCAUUCAGUUGGGCACUCUAAUGAGACUGCCGGUGACAAACCGGAGGAAGGUGGGGAUGACGUCAAGUCCUCAUGGCCCUUAUGGGUAGGGCUUCACACGUCAUACAAUGGUCGGUACAGAGGGUUGCCAAGCCGCGAGGUGGAGCCAAUCCCAAAAAGCCGAUCGUAGUCCGGAUCGUAGUCUGCAACUCGACUGCGUGAAGUCGGAAUCGCUAGUAAUCGUGGAUCAGCAUGCCACGGUGAAUACGUUCCCGGGUCUUGUACACACCGCCCGUCACACCAUGGGAGUGGGUUUCACCAGAAGUAGGUAGCCUAACCGCAAGGGGGGCGCUUACCACGGUGGGAUUCAUGACUGGGGUGAAGUCGUAACAAGGUAGCCGUAGGGGAACCUGCGGCUGGAUCACCUCCUUUCUA